CCCCUAGACGUUCUAGGCUGCACGCGCGCUACAAUAAUACGCACAGCGAGUAUCACCGAGCUCGAAAGGGCAAGGUAAACAAUAGAAAAGGUACUGUAAUGGUUAUAGAUCCUUGUAAUUAUUGAUCUUCAACGAGGAAUUCCUAGUAAGUAUGUGUCAUCAUCACGCACUGAUUACGUCCCUGCCCUUUGUACACACCGCCCGUCGCUCCUACCGAUUGGGUGAGCCGAUGAAACUCUCGGAUGUAGGCUAUUCAUAGCCCGCAGAAGAGAUUUGAAUCGUAGCGCUUAGAGGAAGGAGAAGUCGUAACA
rnacentral:rRNA from 1 species